rnacentral:rRNA from 1 species
GACGAACGCUGGCGGCGUGCCUAAUACAUGCAAGUAGAACGCUGAAGGAGGAGCUUGCUUCUCUGGAUGAGUUGCGAACGGGUGAGUAACGCGUAGGUAACCUGCCUGGUAGCGGGGGAUAACUAUUGGAAACGAUAGCUAAUACCGCAUAAGAGUAGAUGUUGCAUGACAUUUGCUUAAAAGUUGCAAUUGCAUCACUACCAGAUGGACCUGCGUUGUAUUAGCUAGUUGGUGGGGUAACGGCUCACCAAGGCGACGAUACAUAGCCGACCUGAGAGGGUGAUCGGCCACAAUGGGACUGAGACACGGCCCAGACUCCUACGGGAGGCAGCAGUAGGGAAUCUUCGGCAAUGGACGGAAGUCUGACCGAGCAACGCCGCGUGAGUGAAGAAGGUUUUCGGAUCGUAAAGCUCUGUUGUAAGAGAAGGACGAGUGUGAGAGUGGAAAGUUCACACUGUGACGGUAUCUUACCAGAAAGGGACGGCUAACUACGUG